rnacentral:rRNA from 1 species
AUUGAACGCUGGCGGCAGGCCUAACACAUGCAAGUCGAGCGGGGUUUUCGGACCUAGCGGCGGACGGGUGAGUAAUGCGUAGGAAGCUGCCCGAUAGAGGGGGAUACCAGUUGGAAACGACUGUUAAUACCGCAUAAUGUCUACGGACCAAAGUGUGGGACCUUCGGGCCACAUGCUAUCGGAUGCGCCUACGUGGGAUUAGCUAGGUGGUGAGGUAAUGGCUCACCAAGGGGACGAUCUCUAGCUGGUUUGAGAGGAUGAUCAGCCACACUGGAACUGAGACACGGUCCAGACUCCUACGGGAGGCAGCAGUAGGGAAUAUUGGACAAUGGGCGCAAGCCUGAUCCAGCCAUGCCGCGUGUGUGAAGAAGGCCUUCGGGUUGUAAAGCACUUUCAGCGAGGAGGAAGGGGUGUGUGUUAAUAGUACACACCUUUGACGUUACUCGCAGAAGAAGCACCGGCUAACUCUGUGCCAGCCGCCGCGGUAAUAC